GGUCCAAAGCGGAGUGGUCCGCACCUGCUCCACAUGGCUAAAAAUUCUCGAAUGAAGUAAAGCAGGAGCGCCCGUUCGACUCGGGCUUGGACCA